rnacentral:rRNA from 1 species
GACGAACGCUGGCGGCGUGCUUAACACAUGCAAGUCGAACGGAAAGGCCCUGCUUUUGUGGGGUGCUCGAGUGGCGAACGGGUGAGUAACACGUGAGUAACCUGCCCUUGACUUUGGGAUAACUUCAGGAAACUGGGGCUAAUACCGGAUAGGAGCUCCUGCUGCAUGGUGGGGGUUGGAAAGUUUCGGCGGUUGGGGCUGGACUCGCGGCUUAUCAGCUUGUUGGUGGGGUAGUGGCUUACCAAGGCUUUGACGGGUAGCCGGCCUGAGAGGGUGACCGGCGACAAUGGGACUGAGAUACGGCCCAGACGCCUACGGGAGGCAGCAGUGGGGAAUAUUGCACAAUGGGCGGAAGCCUGAUGCAGAAACGCCGCGUGCGGGAUGACGGCCUUCGGGGUGUAAACAGCUUUCGCCUGUGACGAAGCGUGAGUGACGGUAAUGGGUAAAGAAGCACCGGCUAACUACGUG